ACUUUUUAUUUUAUUUUUUAAUUAUUUUUU
rnacentral:sRNA from 1 species